GCAAAAUGUGGGAAAAGUCAAGGGGUCUGAAUACUUUCCGAAUGCACUGUAUACCAGCUAAUUCAUUUUAUAUUACUACUAUCGCAGUUAAACAUGAUGUGAUAGUUUUUUUUAUGGCGUCAUGACGUUCCUCUCUUUUCUCAGGUGUCGACUUGGUCCCAAUCGAGGCUAUUCCCAAUGUGGUCGCUCUGACAGAGCACAUCACCACAGAGUAAUGCCGACAGGCUCUGGAAGGAGCUCCAGACAUGGAAGGUGCACAUAGUCCUAAACGACAGAGUUCGAAAUGUUGGAGCCAACUGGGUGCAUGAUGCCUUCUCUCAGGGACAUGUUUUCUGAAUUGGAUCUGGAAGGAGAUGCAGAGAGCGAGCUACGGCAGACACAGCCAAGGGGAAGAAGAGAAAGGCCCAAGAGGAGCUGGGGACGGCCCAGCUGGAGGAGGAAGACGCGGGGACAUCAAAGGAAGCUGGGGAAGAGGGGGAUAGCGACUCGGAUGAUGUUGACGACAGCAGCGACUCGGAUGACGAGAGGUCAGGGCUCAUGUCAAUUGACUUAUUAAUGAAUAGACUUAGUUUAACGACUUUGCAGGAUUCUGAUAGCAAACAGCUAGUUACUGGAUUUGGCUAUUUCAGCCAUACACUUUGCUGACAGGUGUAAAAAUAAAUCAAGCAUGCAGCCAUGCAAUCUCCAUAGACAAACAUUGCCAGUAGAAUGACUGAAGAGCUCUGUGACUUUCAACGUGGCACCAUCUUAGGAUAACAUCUACCCAACAAGUCAGUUCGUCAAAUAUCUGCCCUGCUAGAGCUGCCCCGGUCAACUGUAAGUGCUGUUAUUGUGAAGUAGAAAUGUUUAGGAACAACAACGGCUCAGCCGCGAAGUGGUAGGCCACACAAGCUCAAAGAACGGGACCGCUAAGUGCUGUAGCGCGAAAACAUCGUCUGUCCUUGGUUGCAACACUCACUACUAAGUUCCAAACUGCCUCUGGAAGCAACGUCAGCAUAAUAACUGUUCAUUGGGAGCUUCAUGAAGUGGGUUUCCAUGGCCGAGCAGCUUCACAC
rnacentral:lncRNA from 1 species